rnacentral:rRNA from 1 species
UGCAAGUCGAACGGCAGCACAGGCGCUUGCGCCUGGUGGCGAGUGGCGAACGGGUGAGUAAAGCAUCGGAACGUACCCGGAAGUGGGGGAUAACGUAGCGCCAAGUUACGCUAAUACCGCAUAUUCUGUACGCAGGAAAGCGGGGGAUCGCAAGACCUCGCGCUUCCGGAGCGGCCGAUGUCGGAUUAGCUGGUUGGUGGGGUAAUGGCCUACCAAGGCAACGAUCCGUAGCGGGUCUGAGAGGAUGAUCCGCCACACUGGGACUGAGACACGGCCCAGACUCCUACGGGAGGCAGCAGUGGGGAAUUUUGGACAAUGGGCGCAAGCCUGAUCCAGCCAUGCCGUCGUGAGUGAAGAAGGCCUUCGGGUUGUAAAGCUCUUUUGUUGGGAAAGAAAAGGUUUGGGCUAAUACCCUGAAUCGAUGACGGUACCCAAAGAAUAAGCACCGGCUAACUACGUGCCAGCAGCCGCGGUAAUACGUAGGGUGCAAGCGUUACUCGGAAUUACUGGGCGUAAAGCGUGCGCAGGCAGGUUGUGUAAGUCAGAGGUGAAAUCCCCGGGCUCAACCUGGGAACUGCCUUUGAGACUGCACUGGCUAGAGGAUGGC